rnacentral:rRNA from 1 species
UAGGGAAUCUUCCACAAUGGACGCAAGUCUGAUGGAGCAACGCCGCGUGAGUGAAGAAGGUUUUCGGACCGUAAAGCUCUGUUGUUGGUGAAGAAGGAUAGAGGUAGUAACUGGCCUUUAUUUGACGGUAAUCAACCAGAAAGUCACGGCUAACUACGUGCCAGCAGCCGCGGUAAAUCGUAGGUGGCAAGCGUUGUCCGGAUUUAUUGGGCGUAAAGCGAGCGCAGGCGGAAGAAUAAGUCUGAUGUGAAAGCCCUCGGCUUAACCGAGGAAUUGCAUCGGAAACUGUUUUCUUGAGUGCAGAAGAGGAGAGUAGAACUCCAUGUGUAGCGGUGGAAUGCGUAGAUAUAUGGAAGAAUACCAGUGGCGAAGGCGGCUCUCUGGUCUGCAACUGACGCUGAGGCUCGAAAGCAUGGGUAGCGAACAGGAUUAGAUACCCUGGUAGUCCAUGCCGUAAACGAUGAGUGCUAAGUGUUGGGAGGCUUCCGCCUCUCAGUGCUGCAGCUAACGCAUUAAGCACUCCGCCUGGGGGAGUACGACCGCAAGGUUGAAACUC